AUUGAACGCUGGCGGAAUGCUUUACACAUGCAAGUCGAACGGCAGCACGGACUUCGGUCUGGUGGCGAGUGGCGAACGGGUGAGUAAUACAUCGGAACGUGCCCAGUCGUGGGGGAUAACGUAGCGAAAGCUACGCUAAUACCGCAUACGAUCUACGGAUGAAAGCGGGGGAUCGCAAGACCUCGCGCGAUUGGAGCGGCCGAUGGCAGAUUAGGUAGUUGGUAGGGUGAAGGCCUACCAAGCCGACGAUCUGUAGCUGGUCUGAGAGGAUGAUCAGCCACACUGGGACUGAGACACGGCCCAGACUCCUACGGGAGGCAGCAGUGGGGAAUUUUGGACAAUGGACGCAAGUCUGAUCCAGCCAUCCCGCGUGCAGGAUGAAGGCCCUCGGGUUGUAAACUGCUUUUGUACAGAACGAAAAGGCUCUGGUUAAUACCUGGGGCUCAUGACGGUACUGUAAGAAUAAGCACCGGCUAACUACGUGCCAGCCGCCGCGGUAA
rnacentral:rRNA from 1 species